UACGUAGGUGGCAAGCGUUGUCCGGAUUUACUGGGUGUAAAGGGCGUGUAGCCGGGUUGACAAGUCAGAUGUGAAAUCCUGCGGCUUAACCGCAGAACUGCAUUUGAAACUGUUGAUCUUGAGUACUGGAGAGGCAGACGGAAUUCCUAGUGUAGCGGUGAAAUGCGUAGAUAUUAGGAGGAACACCAGUGGCGAAGGCGGUCUGCUGGACAGCAGCUGACGGUGAGGCGCGAAAGCGUGGGGAGCAAACAGG
rnacentral:rRNA from 1 species